CUCAGCCGGUUUUCAGCCUGCUGCUCUUCCCAGCAGAAAUAAUCCUCACUAAAGCUGCUCGAGGUGGUUACCUUUCUGCGCACACAUAGUAAAGAAAGCCCUGGGUUCUGUCCACCUGAGAAGGAAAGAAGGAAGGCAGGUUUCCUGGCAGGCCCUUGACCUUGUCUCAGCAUCUCAGGUGUCUCUGUGAGUGACAGCACCACCUCCCUGUGAAUGCUGGGAAGAGCCACCUGUGGACACUGAAAGAGUCCUCUACAUCUGUAUCCUUACUCUUCUAGGUUAACUGCAUUUUCAAGCAAAAGUUAUAAUCAGCUUGACAUCUCCACACACAAAAAAGAAGACAUUUGUGAUGCAGAGGUACCGGUAAAUGAUGGUACAGAAGCAAUGAUGAAGUUAAUCGAGUGAUAAAUAGAUGGCUCAGGAUGUGGAACAUGGAUAAGCUGCUUGGAGAUGAACACCAGUGAGGAUAUAAAUAAUAAUUUACUGGAGGUGCCAAGAAGACAGAGCCACUGCUGGGUGAAGCAAAGAAGCAAAAGAAAGACCCUUCUCCUCUUUUAAUAAA